AACGCACAUUGCGCCCUUUGGUAUUCCGAAGGGCAUGCCUGUUCGAGCGUCAUUGCACCCCUCAAUCAUUCCUUGUUAUUUGGCUGCGCCCCGGUGGCGGUCGAGGGAGACUUCACGCGUAGCAAGAUUUCACCAUCCCGCUUUGGAAGGUUCCUGCUGCGUGCCGGCCAGAUAACCACAAUUUCUUUCAAUGAUUGACCUCGGAUCAGGUAGGGAUACCCGCUGAACUUAA
rnacentral:misc_RNA from 1 species